rnacentral:rRNA from 1 species
UUAAUUGGGCGUUAAGUUGCAGGGUAUAGACCCGAAACCCGGUGAUCUAGCCAUGGGCAGGUUGAAGGUUGGGUAACACUAACUGGAGGACCGAACCGACUAAUGUUGAAAAAUUAGCGGAUGACCUGUGGCUGGGGGUGAAAGGCCAAUCAAACCGGGAGAUAGCUGGUUCUCCCCGAAAGCUAUUUAGGUAGCGCCUCGUGAAUUCAUCUCCGGGGGUAGAGCACUGUUUCGGCUAGGGGGCCAUCCCGGCUUACCAACCCGAUGCAAACUGCGAAUACCGGAGAAUGUUAUCACGGGAGACACACGGCGGGUGCUAACGUCCGUCGUGAAGAGGGAAACAACCCAGACCGCCAGCUAAGGUCCCAAAGUCAUGGUUAAGUGGGAAACGAUGUGGGAAGGCCCAGACAGCCAGGAUGUUGGCUUAGAAGCAGCCAUCAUUUAAAGAAAGCGUAAUAGCUCACUGGUCGAGUCGGCCUGCGCGGAAGAUGUAACGGGGCUAAACCAU